rnacentral:rRNA from 1 species
GAGUUUGAUCCUGGCUCAGCCUGAACGCUGGCGGCGUGGCUAAGACAUGCAAGUCGUACGGAGGUAGCAAUACCUCAGUGGCGAACGGGUGAGUAAUGUAUCGCUAAUGUGCCCCGGACUCUGGGAUAGCUGCCCGAAAGGGCAGGUAAUACCAGAUGAUAUACUCUUGUCGCAUGGCAAGAGUCUCAAAGGUCCGCCGGUCUGGGAGCAGGCGAUAUCGUAUCAGCUAGUUGGUGAGGUAACGGCUCACCAAGGCGACGACGCGUAGCCGGACUGAGAGGUUGGCCGGCCACAUUGGGACUGAGACACUGCCCAGACUCCUACGGGGGGCUGCAGUAACGAAUCUUCCGCAAUGCACGAAAGUGUGACGGAGCGACGCCGCGUGUAGGACGAAGCCCUUCGGGGUGUAAACUACUGUCAGGGGUUAGAAAGUUCUGAUCAACCCCAGAGGAAGGCACGGCUAACUCUGUGCCAGCAGCCGCGGUAAUACG